rnacentral:rRNA from 1 species
UACGUAGGGGGCAAGCGUUGUCCGGAAUCAUUGGGCGUAAAGAGCGUGUAGGCGGCCUGGUAAGUCCGCUGUGAAAGUCCAGGGCUCAACCCUGGAAUGCCGGUGGAAACUGUCAGGCUCGAGUCCGGAAGAGGCGAGUGGAAUUCCUGGUGUAGCGGUGAAAUGCGCAGAGUAUCAGGAGGAACACCAAUGGCGAAGGCAGCUCGCUGGGACGGUACUGACGCUGAGACGCGAAAGCGUGGGGAGCAAACAGG